UACGACGGGGGCUAGCGUUGUUCGGAAUCACUGGGCGUAAAGCGCGUGUAGGCGGACUGUUAAGUCGGGGGUGAAAUCCCGAGGCUCAACCUCGGAAUUGCCUUCGAUACUGGCAGUCUUUGAGUCCGGGAGAGGUGAGUGGAACUCCUAGUGUAGAGGUGAAAUUCGUAGAUAUUAGGAAGAACACCAGUGGCGAAGGCGGCUCACUGGCCCGGUACUGACGCUGUGGUGCGAAAGCGUGGGGAGCAAACAGG
rnacentral:rRNA from 1 species